ensembl:misc_RNA 7SK 7SK RNA
GGAUGUGAGGGCGAUCUGGCUGCAACAUCUGUCACCCCAUUGAUCUCCAGGGUUGAUUCGGCUGAUCUGGCUGACUAGGCAGGUGUCCCCUUCCUCCCUCAAUGUUCCAUGUGUGUCCCUCCCAAAGCUGCACGCUAGGUCGAAGACGAUGACCACCCCUGAUACAGGAGGACUGUUCCUUGGUCAAGGGUAUACCAGUAGCUGCGCUCGCCUGCUAGAACCUCCAAACAAGCUCUCAAGGUCCAUUUGUAGGAGAACAUAGGGUAAUCAAGCUUCCAAGGCUCCAGAUACAUCCAAAUGAGGCACUACACAUGGCAGUCUGACUUUU